CACGUAGGGGGCAAGCGUUGUCCGGAUUUAUUGGGCGUAAAGAGCUCGUAGGCGGCUCGGUAAGUCGGGUGUGAAAUUUCGAGGCUCAACCUCGAAACGCCACCCGAUACUGCUGUGGCUAGAGUCCGGUAGGGGAGCGUGGAAUUCCUGGUGUAGCGGUGGAAUGCGCAGAUAUCAGGAGGAACACCGAUGGCGAAGGCAGCUCGCUGGGACGGUACUGACGCUGAGGCGCGAAAGCGUGGGGAGCGAACAGG
rnacentral:rRNA from 1 species